UGCAAGUCGAACGCACUGACGUCGACCGAAGCUGCUUGCAGUGGACGUUGAUUGACGUGAGUGGCGGACGGGUGAGUAACACGUGGGUAACCUACCCUUAAGUGGGGGAUAACAUUUGGAAACAGAUGCUAAUACCGCAUAACCAUUCAGACCACAUGGUCUGAAUGUAAAAGACGGCCUUUGGCUGUCACUUUUGGACGGACCCGCGGCGUAUUAGUUAGUUGGUAAGGUAACGGCUUACCAAGACAAUGAUACGUAGCCGACCUGAGAGGGUAAUCGGCCACAUUGGGACUGAGACACGGCCCAAACUCCUACGGGAGGCAGCAGUAGGGAAUCUUCCACAAUGGACGAAAGUCUGAUGGAGCAACGCCGCGUGAGUGAAGAAGGUUUUAGGAUCGUAAAACUCUGUUGUUGGAGAAGAACAGGGACUAGAGUAACUGUUAGUCCUUUGACGGUAUCCAACCAGAAAGCCACGGCUAACUACGUGCCAGCAGCCGCGGUAAUACGUAGGUGGCAAGCGUUGUCCGGAUUUAUUGGGCGUAAAGCGAGCGCAGGCGGUUUUUUAAGUCUGAUGUGAAAGCCUUCGGCUUAACCGAAGAAGUGCAUUAGAAACUGGGAAACUUGAGUGCAGAAGAGGACAGUGGAACUCCAUGUGUAGCGGUGAAAUGCGUAGAUAUAUGGAAGAACACCAGUGGCGAAGGCGGCUGUCUGGUCUGCUAAC
rnacentral:rRNA from 2 species